rnacentral:rRNA from 1 species
GGAAGUAAAAGUCGUAACAAGGUUUCCGUAGGUGAACCUGCGGAAGGAUCAUUACUGAUUUGGCAAACCGAGCGCGUUUAGCAAGGUUUUGCGAUCAAAAACUUUAUAUUUAAAACCCCACUCUUUUAAAAUGUAUAUUUUUUUUAUUUUGAAUGAUAAAAUUAAAAGAUCACUUUCAACAACGGAUCUCUUGGCUCUCGCAUCGAUGAAGAAUGUAGCGAAGUGCGAUAAGUAAUGUGAAUUGCAGAAUUCCGUGAAUCAUCGAAUCUUUGAACGCAUAUUGCACUCUCUGGUAUUCCGGAGAGUAUGCCUGUUUGAGGGUCUGUUAAAUAAAAAUCGAGGUUGUUGCUGCCUUUUUUGUGUGUGGCGACGCUUCGGAAUUGGGUCUUCUUUACCUUCGGGUUUAAGUGACCUAAAAUUUUUACAUGAUUUUUCGAACGUAUUUAAAUCGUUUACGUACGUUUGGUUAUAUCGAAUAAUAUUAGGUGUGGUCAUCCUCAUGAUAUUCACGUCUAUAAUUUUUUCAUUUUUAGACCUCAAAUCAGGUAAGGACACCCGCUGAACUUAAGCAUAUCAAUAAGCGGAGGA